rnacentral:sRNA from 1 species
AUGUAAACAUUUAUUAAAUUUUGAUAAUUGUUGUAAUGUCCAAUUACAUUUUGAAAUGUUCUCUUAUAAGUUCAUAUCGCCUAAUGGCAUUGUGUUUCAAAGGAUGUGACUUAAAUUUUAUAGGUACAGAGGCGGCUUGCCCUUGGUUAUAUUGUAUUAGUGAAUAUGUUUACAUUCAAUCGGGCUGAGAAUACUCACGUAUUUAGCAAUAAAUGAUUAGCUAUUUCUUUCUCUCAUAAAUAAUCAAUUCAAAUUACAUGUAUGUGAAAAUAUAAUUAAUAAACUAUUUGUUAAAAAGUUACAUCUUUUGAGUCAUACUUGUUGUUCAUUUCUCAAGGAACAUCAGACUAAAAAUGAAUAUGUAAUAUUAUACUUUAUUAUAUAUUAAAGUAUUAAACCUAGUAUUA